CCACAGGGCCAACCCCUAAAGAAUUUUUUUGAGACUCUCUUAUAAGGUGAAAAAUUCUUUUAUUUUUAUUUUAUCUAAAAAUGUCUAUUUCAUCUUCAUUCUUAAAGGAUAUUUUGGCUGGGUUAGAAUUCUGGGCUGACAGUUUCUUUCAGCACUUUGAAGAUGUUGGUACCCAGGCUUCCGCCUCCAUGACUUUUGAUGAGAAGUCAGAACUCAUCUGAGCUGCUCUUCUGUUAGGUAUCAUGUGUCCUUUCUCUUCGGUUGCUUUCAAAAUGAUCUUAUUUUGGUUAUCAGUAGGUUAACUAUGAUUUGCUUAGGUGGGAUUUUCUUCAUUUUAUUCUCCUUGGAGUUUAUUGAGUUUCUUGACUUUGUAAACUUACGUUUUUUAUGAAAGUCAGGGAAAUUUUGCUCAUUAUUUUCUCUGCUUCUGUUGUCUCCUCCCGCAGCUCUAAUUACAUGCACAUCACACAAUUUGAUGUGGUCCUAUGGGUCCCCAAGGCUUUGUUUAUUUUUUUUCCUUCUUUUAUCUCUUCUUUUUCAGAUGAUAUAUUUUCUAUUUAUUUUCAAGUUGGCUGACUGUACUAUAUUCACUCUGCUGUCAAGUCCAUACAGUGAAAUUUUAAAUAUUGUAUUUUCAGUUCUAGGAUUUCUUUUUGCUUUUUAAUAUUUUCUAUUAACUUUCUGAGAUUUUGUAUUUUUUAUUCAUUAUGACCAUAGUUUCUUUUACAUCAUUGGGCACAGUUAUAAUAAUUGUUUAAAGUCCCUUCUUGCUAAUUCCAAAUUCUCAAUCAUUUUGAGGUUGGUUUCUGUUGAUUAUAGUUUCUUGUGAGAAUGGAUUACAGUUUCCUGUUUCUUGUUUGUUGAGUGAUUUUGGACUGUAUGUGGGACAGUGUUACUGUAACAUUGUGCAGGUUCUGGAUUCUGUAUACGUCUCUGAAGAGUGUUCAUUUUUCGUUCUGACAGAAUGUUAACUUGACUGGGUUCAGACAGAAAAAUUUGUCCCUUUGGAAGAUUUUCAGGUUUUAUUUCAGCUCUGUUAUUUUUAUUUUAGUUUCUAAUAAUCUGCUCCAUGUGUGCAUGAUUCAGAGGUGGGACAGAGGUUUGGACAGAGUUUAUGUGCAGAAUUUGGGGCUUCCUACUCUUUUUCUCUCCUUUUUGAGACCUCCCCCACUUGCUUUCCAGCAGUGUUGGUUACAGUGAAUUUUGUUACCUAGUUUUCAGGACAGAAAGAGCAGCUUUUCUACUGGAGUUUUAGCUAUUUGGUGGUGCCAGCUGUGGCCUGCUCUCAGGGUUAAGUCUUUAAAACAGUGAAACUCACCCUGCUCUUCCCUUCUCUCCGAAUCUCUCUGCUCUUUUACUUUCCAGUAACUUCAGGUAUUUGUUCGUGUUUUGUUUAGAGUGUGGUAUUAUCUGUGGGAUGGCUGGCUCAGCUGGAGCUGUUUUAGCCAUACCAGAAGCAUAAUGCUGUUAUACCAACUUUGAAUGGCUCAAAUUCACAGGCAACACCAAUCAAGCAUUACCAUACAUUAAAAAAUUGUGAUUAUGUAUAAAUCUGCUUUAUCAGUGAAAUACAGGUGAUGCAUAUUUGAACCAGAGUGUAUGAUGUCAAAGUCUAGCGUUAGACUAUUAGAUAACCCAUCAAUAUCUACUGCACGGUUAAGCAAACACCCCACAACAACUUAAGUUGAUAUUGCUGCUAAAGCAACAGGAAAUGAUCAUUACAAGCAAGAAUGGCAGAAAGAAGCCAGUGUCCACCCAGAGCAGUGCUGGUGAUGCAGUGGUCACUGUGGGUCCUUGCCGUAAAGUGCCGGUGAUCCUACGCUCCACAGUAGGGACUGUGCAACAUAACGGGACGUUUUGAGGAAGUCAGCCUUCUUAGCAGAAAAUGGAAUCCACAUCCUUGGGAGACUCUAAUUUUAGUUUAUAAUAAUAAAUUUUAUAACCUUUAAUAUCUCACUCAGUAGAUAACUUAUUAGUAAGUUGGAGAUAUAUGGAAUUUUACACCUUUAGGAACUACAGAAAAGUACGAAUUUUGAGGACUGCUAAUAGGAGGGAGUUAUUUGGCCACUGGCCUGUCUCUAUCCUGGGGGCUCCGGGCCGUGAGGUGUUUGCUCCCUUUGGUGCAUCUUUCUUGCUCUUGGCUGAGGAGGUGAGACAGGUCAGAGACUGCUCCCAUGGCAGAGACUGGAGAAGAACUGAGGGGUGGGGUCAAGCACGUUCUGUUCUGACUUGCACUUACUUCUUGUCACAACUUCUCAGAAAGUUUUUCCAUGGCUUCGGAAUAGGAAGAGCCAAGAGUUGUAUGUCAGGGAGCAGUCGAAGUAGGCAAAAUGGGACAAAAAUCGACAGAGGAGAGACUUCACGUUUCUCUGAGUUCUCUUCACAUUGACUCUGGAGUCAACUGCAUGUUUAAAUCCCGCCCCGUCAUGGAGCUGUGUGCCCCUAACAAGUUACUUAGCCUUGUUUGGCCUUAUCUCCUCAUCUGCAACAUGGGGAUGGUAACAAGAGGAUCCGUCUAAGGAGAUGUUCAUGGGAUCAAAUGCAAUAAACUGUGGGGGCACUGAAGUCGCUCUCAGGGGUCUCCUAGUUGUUUGGCGCCAUGUCUGGCACAUGGUAGGUGUUCAAUAGAUAUUUGAUAUUAAAUCAAUGAAUAAAUAGUAUAGUAGCUGAAACAGAAAACUCAUGAUCAAUAGAAGUUUCUUCCCUUUCCAGCCAGCUGGCAACGUUCGGUCAGACACCAGUAGGGUUCCUUUGACAGAUGUGAGGAGAGCCUGCCUAUCGUUCAAAACUCAGGGCGGGACGCAGCUGGCAGUGGGUAUCAGGCGUGAAGAAGACAGAUCCCAGCCCGUGGGGCUGGCCCCAGGCGGUACUGUUAAAAAUGUUCGUGGUUAUUUUUACGACAUCUUGAAUGAGUGUGUUUCACAUCUUUCAAAGCACUUUUUCACACCUACAAUUUUGCUUGUUUUUAGGAUGAGUCUGAAAGAAAAGCUGCUGGUGUGUCAUGGAUGCCAAUUAUGUGUCAGGUGCUAUAUACGUGUGUGUAUAUACCUACAAAUUACAUAUACAUGGAUCUGACAUAUAAUUUAUUUGUAUUGCCUGCCAGUCCUAUGAAGGCUGCACAGGACUGAAAGGAGGGAGCCUAGAGCUGUUCUGCCUUUAAUAACUUGGAGCAACUCACUCGAUGUUUAUGGAGAUGUUUCCUUAUCCUGAAUCCUAGUCUCACUGCUGACUGUAAAACUUUGGAAAAUAUACCUAACUGCUCUUUGCCUCUGUCCUCAUCUGCAGGAUGUGGAUAAUAGCACACAUCCCAUAAAGUAGUCCAUGCACUUGACACACAUUUAUUAAGUGCCUACUAUAUACCAGGCUUUGUCCUAGGAGCUUGGGGCACAUUGGUGAACAAAUGAGAUGGAGACCAUUACAAGGUUGAAUGGAGUUAAUAAGUGCAAAACAGUGCCUGUCAUAAAAAGAACAAUCAAUACGAGGUGUUACUAUCUUAAAAAUGAACAGAUAGCACUUUCUAUGUAGGUCAGCCUGGAUUUUAGCACAUGUAAAGGGCACUAUUAUAAUUUAGAAUUUUUUUCUUCUCACACAACCUGGCUUUUAAGAUAAGGAACUUGCUAACGAUUCAGGAGAGUGAGCUUUGAGUUGGCAAAAGAUCCAUGUGUCUGUAUUUUGCUCCCUCUUUCCUGGGCUGAUCUUUCUUGCUUGGCCUUAAUUGUAGGAGGCUGUCGGAGAAUGUGAUUCCCAGGGCAAAAGCGAUUUAUAGGGGAAUGAGAAAUACAUUGGUUUAAUAUCAUAUCUAUUAUAUCAGGCACAUAGUAAAUGUUUAAUAAUGAAUUGCUUCUGAUUAUGUCUUUUAGGAGUUCCUUAAAGGGAUCUAAGAAAAAAGCUUAAGUCAAACAAAUGACUUACCAGGGGUAGGACACUUUGGCGAUAUAGCUUCUUGUAGAUGGAGAUCAUUGAGACCUCCGUGACUGGCGUUCACCUGGGGCUACAGGAAGAACUUUCUCACGCAAAGAUGAAAGUCUUGGCAGCUUGGCACAUUGGCUAGAUUUGAGCAGGAAGUUGGGUGUAAUAAGUAAAAGAACUCUGUGUACACUUGGAAACUGGCUAUGAUUCCAAGAUUGGGAGAACCGUAGAGACCGAUGGAGACCAGCAGGUGGAGAGCAGGAUGAAGUUAACACAUCUGCCUUGAAGAACUUUGCUAUCACCUCACAGUGUGUUUAUUUAAAAACAAACAGAAAUGAAGACCGGCCUCAAACUCCAACUGGCUGUGGAGACAAAGUCAUUACAAACCCCUGUGAGCAAUGCCUUUGCAUGAAGCCCCUGACUGGAGUGUUAGAUAGCAAGACCUUCCCCUCUUGCAGGCAUCCAGUGCAGGAUGCCUGUGAAUGGGUUAAUGCAAAUGAGCCGCUGGAAUCAGAGUGGGUGGGACCACAACCCUGCAGCAGCGAUAAAGCAGCGAUUCCCAAGCCCUGUUAAAUGUUAGAACCACCAGCGAACUUAUUAAAAUACAAAUGUCAGACCCCACUCACGGAAUUAUUGUCUCUUGGGGUGAGGUACUCCUAAAUUUUUAGUCUGAAUUUUCUUCAUAUUUUAGUCUGAAGCACAGAGCAGUUUAGGGGCUACUGGGAUCGUGCAUCAAAAUGAUUUCUCUCUAUUAGCGUUUUCCCAAGUGUGGUCUGUAGUCCAGUUGCAUCUGAGUGGGAGGGGGAGGAAGAAAGGCCUCGUAAAGUAGAUUCCCGGGCUGCCCUCCAGUCCUGCUGAAUCUGCAUUCCAACAAAUGCUUCAGGUGAUUUUUCUUUUCAUUAAGACUUUAUUAUUUUUUUAGAGCAGUUUUAGGUUCACAGCAAAAUUGAGAGGAAGGUACAGAGAUUUCCCAUAUACCCCCUGCUCCCCCACAUGCACAGCCUCCUCCUUUAUCAUCAUUCCCACCAGAGUGGGACAUCUGUUACAACUGGUGAACCUGCACUGACACGUCAUUCUCACCCAAAGUCCAUAGUGUACCUUAGGGUUCACUCUUGGUUUUGCACAUUCUGUGGGUUGGGACAAAUGUCUGAUGAUGUGUAUCUACCAUUAUGGUAUCAUACAGAAUAGUUUCACUGCCCUAAAAAUGCUCUGUGCUCUGCCUCUUCUUCCCUCC